CUUGUACUCCCUCCGUUCGGAAUUACUCGUCGAAGAAAUGAAUGCAUUUAGAUGUAUUUUAGUUGUAGAUACAUCCAUUUUUGUGACAAGUAAUUCCGAACGGAGGGAGUACGAC
rnacentral:pre_miRNA from 1 species